CUCUAUGGCAGAUCGCGCAGGGAGAUCCUCGUGGUCUGCCGGUCCCUACUGCCGGUCCGUCAACCCUGCGUGGUCUGCCACCCAU
rnacentral:antisense_RNA from 1 species